GACGAACGCUGGCGGCGUGCCUAAUACAUGCAAGUCGAACGCAGUGGGGACGGGUGAGUAACACGUGGGUAACCUCCCAUCAGAGGGGAUAACACUUGGCAACAGGUGCUAAACCGAUACUGAUGGAUGGACCCGCGGUGCUUUAGCUAGUUGGUGAGGUAACGGCUCAUCAAGGCCCCGAAACAUAGCCCACCUGCGAGGCUGAUCAGCUACACUGGGACUGAGACACGGCCCAGACACCUACGGGAGGCAGCAGUAGGGAAUCUUCGGCAAUGGACGUAAGUCUGACCGAGCCACGCCGCGUGAGUGAAGAAGGUUUUCGGAUCGUAAAUCUCUGUUGUUAGAGAAGCGGUAUCUAACCAGAAAGCCACGGCUAACUACGUGCCAGCAGCCGCGGUAAUAC
rnacentral:rRNA from 1 species